UGGGGAAUAUUGGACAAUGGGCGCAAGCCUGAUCCAGCCAUGCCGCGUGAGUGAUGAAGGCCUUAGGGUUGUAAAGCUCUUUCAGUGGGGAAGAUAAUGACGGUACCCACAGAAGAAGCCCCGGCUAACUUCGUGCCAGCAGCCGCGGUAAUACGAAGGGGGCUAGCGUUGUUCGGAUUUACUGGGCGUAAAGCGCACGUAGGCGGAUUGUUAAGUCAGGGGUGAAAUCCCAGAGCUCAGCUCUGGAACUGCCUUUGAUACUGGCGAUCUCGAGUCCGGAAGAGGUGAGUGGAACUCCUAGUGUAGAGGUGGAAUUCGUAGAUAUUAGGAAGAACACCAGUGGCGAAGGCGGCUCACUGGUCCAGAACUGACGCUGAGGUGCGAAAAGCGUGGGGAGCAAAACAGGAUUAGAUACCCUGGUAGUCCACGCCGUAAACUAUGAGAGCUAGCCGUUGGAUGGUUUACCAUUCAGUGGCGCAGCUAACGCAUUAAGCUCUCCGCCUGGGGAGUACGGUCGCAAGAUUAAAACUCAAAGGAAUUGACGGGGUCAUAGCUGUUUCCU
rnacentral:rRNA from 1 species